AAAGUCGUAACAAGGUUUCCGUAGGUGAACCUGCGGAAGGAUCAUUACAAAUCCAUCACGUGUCUCUCUCUCUCACCGAGACCUCGUUGAACUGUUCCAGUGAGCGCAGAGGACAACACACAGAAAAGGGGGGGGGAGGGGAAGAGGUGUCUCACCUCUCUCUCUCUCUCUCUCCCCUCUGCUCUGCUUGUUCGUUCUCUGUCUCACGACUCUCUCUCCUACACCAGUGUGCCACUUGUGCAUCAGCGUGCGUUGCAACUGUGUGUGUGCAUGUGUGCAAGUGUGUGUCUAUGACACUACGAGCCACUGCUGCACACACAUUGCUGCAGCAAACCUACCAACAACAAUAACAACCUAGAAACAACUUAUAACAAUGGAUCUCUAGGCUCUU
rnacentral:misc_RNA from 1 species